GUCCACGCCGUAAACGUUGGGCACUAGGUGUGGGACCCUAUCGACGGGUUCCGUGCCGUAGCUAACGCAUUAAGUGCCCCGCCUGGGGAGUACGGCCGCAAGGCUAAAACUCAAAGGAAUUGACGGGGGCCCGCACAAGCGGCGGAGCAUGUUGCUUAAUUCGAUGCAACGCGAAGAACCUUACCUAGGUUGAACUACGCAGGAAAAGCCGUAGAGAUACGGUGUCCGAAAGGGUCUGCGAUAGGUGGUGCAUGGCUGUCGU
rnacentral:rRNA from 1 species